GUUCAACAAUGCCCAGGCAUCUGCACUCAAGGCUCUCUCUCUCUGCAGGGUUCGUUUGAAACCAAGGUUUGCACUAUCAUGCAAACGGUAUGUACAGAUAUCUGCCUAUCCCCCAUCAAAAAGUGUGUCGGUUUCUCUUAAAAUGGGGACUUUCGAUUCAUUAACACAUAUGCCUUUCAAAUCCUAAUUUAUCUCACACCCUCCAGAGGAUGUGAAGGCUAAAAAGUCAACCUGCCCCCAGAAAGAAUACACCAUGUCUAGACCGACCCCAGGGGGUAAACAUUGAUAUUUCUAAUCAGCGCAUAUACUAACGGUGCCCCCACCCCGGUCUAUAAAUUUACAUCGGACACCCACCAAGGUGCUAACCCUGAGGAUGUAGGAAAUCAAAAGGGCCAUGUCUUACUGUCUCGACACCCCUCCUGUUGUUUGAAAUCACUACCUUUGUAAUCUAAACCAAAAUAUACAGGGUGUUGCAAACAGGAUAUCGCCCGAAAAAACGUCACCCCCCAUGCCCUGUAAAUGCAUUCCGUAGUAUCUCUCCUUUUGAGCCAAGACCGAGGAGCGAGUGUCCGAUCCACUAUGUUAGCACCGCUUUAGCGCAGCUACAAACCCACAGGCCAGCAACCCCGAAUAGUUAUCGGACUGAACAUUUAAAAGGAUCAUCUGUGAAUCCGUCCUAAUGGAGCUUUCUGAAGGUGAGUUAAUGAAAAAAUAUAUAUUAGAUUUGGAUGCGUGGAAUUGUUUGAACAUGAAGGAUGAUAUUGUAAUAUUAAACAUGGAGUUAUGUGUUUUAAACGUGGGUCAAUGCACGUAUUCUUAUCGUAUAAAAUGUUAAUAUUAUCUAACGUUAAUAUUAUCUAACUUUUGUAGGGUCUCCAACAUUUACGCAGCUGCUCAGAGGGAUAAAUGAUCUGGAACAGACAGCGUUAGACGGCGAUUCUCAGGAGCAAAUCGCAUGCAGCCAAACCCCGUCACAUUAUUGUAGACCUGACAUACAGCCAAGAAGAAUAACGGGGUCCAUGUGGACCCUGAACGGCUUCGGAAGAGCAGAUGACACAUCCGAUGACACAGAUGCAAUUCUCCCGUUCUGUACGAACGUUUUUUCAAACACACCGAGAACAGAGGAUUUAAACGUCCGGUUAACUCCCCCGGAAACCUCCACCAGCUCGCUCCAUAUUCCUAACCCAAGCAAACAACGCACAACUCGGGCGCAAAUACAUUGCUCAGAAUCAACCCCUCCGGAAAAGUACGACAGGAUAGGGAAUUUACGAGACGGCGCUCCAUGGACACGGCUCCAACGAGACAGGCCUGGCAGAAUCGGGAAUUCUUGGUGACAAAAGUCAAGCCCCCCCCAACCGGUUUACGCGAUUCGUCAGAACAGCCCUCGUCAAAAAAGCAGAGACUCCUCCCCGGCGUAUAACGGCACCAAAGACCUCACACAUCUAGAGCACGCGGAGGAUUCCGGCUCACCGAACAUUCCCAAUGAAACAACCAAAACGGAGGAUUUUAACGUUAUAAAUUACAUUUCCGAGGCAGACGACCGGUUAUUAUGGGAUGCGGCCAACCUUCUUGAUUCUGCCAAUUCUGUGGUGACAACAGACGGAUCUGAAAUAGAACAAGCUAGGUUUUUCACAGCCUUUUCCAGGGCUCUAAAAUCCCGAAAGGUUUUGCUACACAGACGUCUGGGUGUUUUAAUAGAGCGCCAAUACCGUCAGGAUAUAUCGUUCUGGCAUAGAGCAAUUCCACGUAUGUUAAACAGCAAUCAGAUUUUAAAAAACGCAAAUACAGGCGUUAAAAGCAUAUAUGUUACACGGAUCCUUCCAGAAUAACCCAAGAACACACAUCAUUAAUUAUCCAAAUGGCUGACCCAACAGACCUAGGCGAGACAGUUGAAAACCUCUUAUCCCAGAUACCGCCAGAAUUCCAAGCUAUAAUUAACCAUAUGAAUGAGGCGGGGGUAACAGACAUAAUACCGAUAGAUGAAAGCAUAUUAUCACAGAUUCCAGCCGAACUCAUAGAAAUUAUUAAUCGUAUGAAUGAGUCAGGGCCUUCGGAUGAAAAGCCCUCAUAUCGCUAAUGAUGAACGAGAGCCUGAGAUCUAAUUCUGCAACACACACCCCUCAAAACCAGACAUUAACACCCAUGUCCGAAGAGUCUGAAAGGCAAUACGAUGUUUUUGAGGAAUUGGAAAAUUGUCUAAUAAAUCAGGAUUGUAUGGAUAGAAGUGUUCGUGUUGUGUACCGAAAUCAAUUCAACAAUACAGAGAUUCGACAGUUUUUCAAUUUCGCAUGGGUGAAUCUAAAACUUGACUAUACUGUGUUUUACGUAAUGAUAUUGGACACUCUGAACGAACUGUUAGAAAGGGCUAGAGAUUAUGGCGAACCACGUUAUGUCUUACAGUUGGAAAUUUGUGGAGACAUGCAUAGCACGGUAUCUCUUAUUUUACCCAAUGGCGAAGCAGAUCUGGAACAAUUUAUCGCGCUACUAGAACGACUUGUUCAGUCAAAUGUAUCCGUCUUAGCCGAUAGGACCUCGAGCUUGUAGUGCAAAUAAUACGUCAACCCCUGGGUGGUGGUGGGCA